AUUGAACGCUGGCGGCAGGCCUAACACAUGCAAGUCGAGCGGUAGAGAGAAGCUUGCUUCUCUUGAGAGCGGCGGACGGGUGAGUAAUGCCUAGGAAUCUGCCUAGUGGUGGGGGAUAACGUUCGGAAACGGACGCUAAUACCGCAUACGUCCUACGGGAGAAAGCGGGGGACCUUCGGGCCUCGCGCCAUCGGAUUAGCUAGUUGGUGAGGUAAUGGCUCACCAAGGCUACGAUCCGUAACUGGUCUGAGAGGAUGAUCAGUCACACUGGAACUGAGACACGGUCCAGACUCCUACGGGAGGCAGCAGUGGGGAAUAUUGGACAAUGGGCGAAAGCCUGAUCCAGCCAUGCCGCGUGUGUGAAGAAGGUCUUCGGAUUGUAAAGCACUUUAAGUUGGGAGGAAGGGUAGUAACUUAAUACGUUGCUACUUUGACGUUACCGACAGAAUAAGACCCUGU
rnacentral:rRNA from 1 species